CUUCCUACGGGAGGCAGCAGUGAGGAAUAUUGGUCAAUGGGCGAGAGCCUGAACCAGCCAAGUCGCGUGAAGGAUGACGGCCCUAUGGGUUGUAAACUUCUUUUGUCAGGGAGCAAUUGGGUCCACGUGUGGGCUUAGCGAGAGUACCUGAAGAAAAAGCAUCGGCUAACUCCGUGCCAGCAGCCGCGGUAAUACGGAGGAUGCGAGCGUUAUCCGGAUUUAUUGGGUUUAAAGGGUGCGUAGGCGGAAUGCCAAGUCAGCGGUAAAAUCGCGGGGCUCAACCUCGCUCCGCCGUUGAAACUGGC
rnacentral:rRNA from 1 species